rnacentral:rRNA from 1 species
CAAAGGCUUCGGCCGGUAAAGGAUGGGGAUGCGUCUGAUUAGCUUGCCGGCGGGGUAACGGCCCACCGGGGCGACGAUCAGUAGGGGUUCUGAGAGGAAGGUCCCCCACAUUGGAACUGAGACACGGUCCAAACUCCUACGGGAGGCAGCAGUGAGGAAUAUUGGUCAAUGGGCGCGAGCCUGAACCAGCCAAGUAGCGUGCAGGACGACGGCCCUAUGGGUUGUAAACUGCUUUUAUACGGGGAUAAAGUAUGCCACGUGUGGUUUAUUGCAGGUACCGUAUGAACAAGGACCGGCUAAUUCCGUGCCAGCAGCCGCGGUAAUACGGAAGGUCCGGGCGUUAUCCGGAUUUAUUGGGUUUAAAGGGAGCGUAGGCCGGGUUUUAAGCGUGCCGUGAAAUGUCGGGGCUCAACCUUGACACUGCGGCGCGAACUGGAGUCCUUGAGUGCGCGGAACGUAUGCGGAAUUCGUGGUGUAGCGGUGAAAUGCUUAGAUAUCACGAAGAACCCCGAUUGCGAAGGCAGCAUACGGCAGCGCUACUGACGCUGAAGCUCGAAGGCGCGGGUAUCGAACAGGAUUAGAUACCCUGGUAGUCCGCGCGGUAAACAAUGGAUGCCCGCUGUUGGCGAUAUAUUGUCA